AUCCCCAGCAAUGGGCAAAGAACCACCUUGUUGGGAUGUUGAUCUUAUAUCGGUCAGGGGCAGAGCAGAUGGCAGUCCAUUGUUCAUCCUAGCUUGGUGCCUGGCUUGGUGGCCAAAGCUGUUUUUUGCCAGGAAACAUAA